AACCCAUGCCUCAGCAGCAACCAGACCAGAGCUGCUGCAGAGAGAAAAUGCCAGAUCCUUAUCCUGCUGUGCCACAGCAGAAACUCCUACUCAUCUUUAAGAUGUUAAAGAGAAUGGUAAUACUUCAAGAUUUCUUCAAGCAGUGAUGCUUUCUAUAAUGAUGAAUUUGCUAAGACAAAAUCCACUGGUGUUUUCUAGAUUAUGAGGAUUUCUUCAAAAGUACUUUAGCUUCAUCUGUUUCACCUUUAUAACGUCUCUGACCAUAGAAACCACCUUUUAGAAAUAGUAUUUUAGAAACAGUCAUGCCUUCAUGACUGCACAAGCUGUCCCCUUGGCCUGACAAGUCUGUCUUCGCUCCAUGAGUCUUAGAUAAUACGUGGAUCUUCUUUAAGACUCAGCUACAGCUUUGACUCCACAUGAAAACCUUUUCAGACACUUGUUACAUUCAGGGUUGAGUUCAACAUCCUCUUCUAAUCCCUCCCCCCAAAUACUAAGCCAUCUAGAGUAUAGUAAAUUCUAUAACCAAUUGGUUUAUUGUCCAUUUACCCAACAACACUAGGAGGCCUGAUCCAGGUCAUGACACAUGGGAGAGAAACUUGUGGUUGCCAACAGGGAGGGGGAGGGAGUGGGAUGGACUGGGAGUUUGGGGUUAAUAAAUGCAAACUAUUACAUUUGGAGCAGAUAAGCAAAAAGAUCCUGCUGUAUAGCACAGGGAAUUAUAUCUACUCACUUGUGAUGGAACAUGAUGGAGGAUAAUGUGAGAAAAAAGAAUAUGUAUGUAUGUAUGUAUGUAUGAAUGUGUCACUUUGCUGUACAGUAGAAAUUGACAGAACACUAAAUCAACUGCAGUGGAAAAAAUAAAAAUCAUAAAAAAAUAAAAAAGAAAUUUUAAAAAAGAUAGACACUCUUUAAGCCUUAGUUUUCUCUUUUGUCUACGGAACCACACAUCAUCUGGUUGCUGCCAAAAUUAACUGUGACAAUGGACAUAGACCAUUUGGUACAAAGUUGGUGCAUUAUAAAUGCCCAUUGAAGAAUGGCUGCUGCUACUUGUUAGGGUUUUUUCUAUGACAUUUGGCUACUGUGUUAAUGUAUCUCAGUAAUUUACUGGCACAGUAAUGUGUAUGGCUGAAAAACAAAGAGUAUGCAUGUGGGAAACUAUGUGUGUGAUACAAAGCAUAAAAUAUCUUUUUUGUACUUGAACUUUGUCUGAAAAAAUCACUCUCUCCAAAGAAGAAUAGUUCAGAUGAUUUCUGCUGUAUCCAUCUCAGAUGACAAUUCCCUCCACGUUUAUCUCUCCUAAGAAGAGACUUUUGAUUUACUUUCAAUAAAUGGGAUAACCAGACAGCAAGCCAAAUUUCUCUCCAACUGCAAUUACUGGGGACUACUGGCAAGCCAGAGUAAUGGAGCUGGGGUUUAAAAAAGUACAAAGUGAACCCUUAAACCUGGACAUAAAAAGCAGGCAUAACAGCAUAAAGCAUGCAUCACUCAUGCAUCACAUGUUUAUUUGAUUAUUUUACCGCCCAGAGAGCCAAUGUUUCUUGGUCCAUAGAGGUGAUACAGGUAAACAAUCUGAGCUGAGGGAAGGCAGCCAUCAGGCUCUCCUGUACAUGGCAGAGCCAGAGAUAAUGGCACAAAUGCAAAAGCAAACACCAUAUGAAUAAAUAUCUAAAAACGAUAUAAGCGAAGCUAAGCGACUGUGAAGUAAAAAGGGUUCAAGCCUCCUGUCUUGACAAAUUCUCCUUCAUACUAGUGUAGAAGGCCAGGUUCACACUGAGGUUUCUUGGACAGUUUGGAAAUGAGGGCAGGGACUUGGGAAAAGGGGAGGGAGGAGCUGGCUCCAACUGCUGGCUUUACCCUUCCCUUUCUCUUUACCUUGAUCUCCUUUCCAGGCCACAGGAAGUGUGUGCACAGACAUUCAGAGGCCCAGCUCACUUACUUAAGUGUCUUCCACCUCUUCCACCCAGCCUCCUGCAGACAGACAAUAGUGAUAAGGAGUCCUAUGCUUGCCCCAGAAGGAUGCAAGUCAUCUCCAGGGUCCCUGGUCCCUGGAGUGUGGGCUAGACAGGAAACAUGAUCUUCAUGUGGGCACAUCCUGUUAGCUACAAAACUCCUCAUGCCAUGGGAAGACCAGAACAGUCUCCCUUACAGGAUGAACACAAGGCAGAAGCCUGUUCUGUCUAUAUCUCAGGGUAAUACACUCAGGGCUUUUCAGCAUAGGGUAUGAAUGAAAGAAAGUAAACACAACACAGCUUAAGAAAAUCUCAUGUUUCUAGCUCACCUGUGCAUGUGUGAGAGUGAACUAGUGAGAAGAAAUGAGAAAUAAGUCUUUGUCAUAGGGUGAUCACCUGUCAAGGUUUUCCUGGGACUGAAGGGUUUCCUGGGAACUGAAACUUUCAGUGGUAGAUCUACUAAAGUUCCAGGCAAAGUGGGAUGGGUCCACCACUCUACUUUUACAAUUGCCUGGUUCCAAAAUUAGCGUACUAGAAAACAUUUUAAGCAGUGGAAAGGGCGUGCAACUCGAUGUAAAAAUAUUUGAUUUCCAGUCUGAAGUUUACUACUAAUUAACUGUGUGAAUUUGAGCCUCUGAAUUUGAAUUCCAUCAGUAAAACAAAGAAUUGGGUUCCCUGAAAAAUUUAAAGUUGAAUACUCCAGAAAUGUGUUGACAGGACAGUCCUUAUCUGGAAGCCAGAAUUAUUUUUUUCAUCCAUGGCACAAAAUAGCCAUCAAAAGGAUGACAUAUUUCUAGGAAUAAGCCAAUAUUUGUAAGCUAUACCAUUCUCACAAACCAUAGAUGGAAAAAACUUUACAUAGCAGUGGGUUGGAUAAUGUAGUUGGGCAGAUUGCAAAUGUGGCUGCAUGUCCCCCAAUCUCAUUUAAUGGAUGCAUUCAUUUUUUCUGCUUAUAAAAUUAUAUCACGAUGAAUCACAUGCAAAAAACACAGAAGACAAAUCGGAGCUUCUUGGGUCACAGUCUCGUUUUAUUUUCUUCCGAUUUAUCUUUCUCUUCCCGCUUCUGAAGGGUAAAGCAAAUGACCGCAGAAAUUAGACCCUGGAAAUGUGUCUGCUGUUUUAAUUUCAUAAAGGAAAAAUGUAAGUCAACCCAAAGGUCUGUAAUAGGGGACUGAAGGAGGAGAAAACAUUUAGAUGGAUGAGCAACUGCUCUCCUGGACUGAGGCUUAACAACCUGUAAAGCUUGAACUUGAGGACAACAGCUUUCAACAUGUUACAUUUUAUUUCCAGACCAUGGAACAAAGCUGAUGGAUGUGCCCAACAUUUGACAUUUAGAAUCAGGAUCUUCAGUCACUGUUCUGUUCUUCAUGAGUGAAACAUGCGCUCGUAGCAAGUUCUUUUGGUCUGUAUCCUUGACCUUAGUAUUGCACUUUCUUUGGCAGGGAGUCUGUAUUCCUUAAUGACUACACAGGUUUUCAAGAAUACUUAGGGGCACUGACUAAUUGAUACCUGGAAGGGGUGUCAUACAUCUUGUCCACAACCUCUGAAGCUGCCAAAGUUGACAGCUCAACUUUUUAAAGAAGAAAGGAACAAGGAACUUUAAACUAUAAUAAUUCCACACUAAUACCCAAACUUUAACCUAACUCCUUCCCCUACUUUGAUAAAAUUCUUAUUCCUUGUAUUGUCUUCUUAAUGCACUUAGCAUAUAACAUUAAGAGGAAAAUAAUCACAUUGUGUUAUACUUAUUUCCUCUGUUAUCCUCUUUUGUGAGAAACAGCAUGAUUUUGGAGUGCCCAUUGUGGUGCAGUGGAAAUGAAUCGGACUAGUAUCCAUGAGGAUACGGAUUCAAUCCCUGGCCUUAUUCAGUGGGUCGGGGAUCUGGUGUUGCUGGUGUUGCCAUGAGCUGUGGUGUAGGUCACAGACAUGGCUUGGGUCCUACAUUGCUGUUGAUGUGGCUGUGGUGUAGGCCAGCAGCUAUAUCUCCAACUUGACCCCUAGCCUGGAAACUUCCAUGUACCGCACCUCCAGCCCUAAAAAGGAAAAAAAAAAAAAAAAAAAAAAAAA
rnacentral:lncRNA from 1 species